UACGUAGGGUGCGAGCGUUAAUCGGAAUUACUGGGCGUAAAGAGCUCGUAGGCGGUGUGUCGCGUCGGCCGUGAAAACCUGCAGCUUAACUGUGGGCUUGCGGUCGAUACGGGCAUCACUGGAGUUCGGCAGGGGAGACUGGAAUUCCUGGUGUAGCGGUGAAAUGCGCAGAUAUCAGGAGGAACACCGGUGGCGAAGGCGGGUCUCUGGGCCGAUACUGACGCUGAGGAGCGAAAGCGUGGGGAGCGAACAGG
rnacentral:rRNA from 1 species